CACCCACGUACCCAUUGUAUUAUACACAGCAACCUUAAAUUUUUCACAUUUUAGACUUUCUUAAAAACUUAUUUUACAAAUAAACCCCCUAAAAACUUAUUGUGGAAACAGAUCCUCUUCGCAACACCAACAUCAUUAGUGCCAUGGUCCAAUAUGACUCUAUUUGUAAAAAUAAACUUUUAAAAAGAUCUAAUAUGUAAAAAAUCCAGCACAACAACCUCUGGUCUCAAAACCUUAUUUACAUUUCCACUUACUUUAGUAAGAUGUGUAGACUGUAGUAGGGUGGGUGGGUCUUCUUUCUCCUUUCAAUUUCUUCAUUAUUGUCCUCCUCCUCCGCUGGCAUAUCGGUCUAUCUAUCAGCCCAUAUUGGUCCGGAACGGGAGGCAUUGGAAGUCACAAAGGCACUAUCUUUAGUUUGCAGUGAAGAUUGAUGUGCUAAAGAAGCUGUGGGUUGUUUGCUUUAUGUAGGCAGUAAUCAUGAGAAAGGAUUGCAGAUGCAACUUCAGAUAGAUCGAGAUACACUGCAGACGAGACAAAUCAAAUGAAUUGCACAAUGUGAUUGGUGGGCAAGCAUGUUCUGAAGGAUUGUGGCAGAAAUUUACUCCAUUGGAUCAAAGGUCUACCGGAGAGAAUCAGCUCUUCAAAUGAAUUGAAAUACUUGUCUUGACUGUAAUAUGCACGCAAUUUUGCAUGUUCAUGUAAAUCUGUAGCAUCGAAGCAUGAUGUCACCAGUGAAGUAUACGUCUCAUAUGUAGGCAUAUACUAGUUCACACCUCUCUUAACACAACACGUCAGACUAAGUGGAAAUGGAAAUAUAGAAGGCAAAAUUGGUUA